rnacentral:rRNA from 1 species
UACGGAGGGUGCAAGCGUUGUCCGGAUUUAUUGGGUUUAAAGGGUGCGCAGGCGGCGUCGCAAGUCAGGCGUGAAAUCCCCGGGCUUAACCUGGGAAUGGCACUUGAAACUACGAUGCUGGAGUAUGGCAGAGGGAGGUGGAAUUCCACGUGUAGCGGUGAAAUGCGUAGAGAUGUGGAGGAACACCGAUGGCGAAGGCAGCCUCCUGGGCCAAUACUGACGCUCAUGCACGAAAGCGUGGGGAGCAAACAGG